GUGCCAGCCGCCGCGGUAAAACGUAGGAGGCAAGCGUUAUCCGGAGUUACUGGGCGUAAAGCGUGCGUAGGCGGGUUGGUAAGUGGGUGGUGAAAGCGCUCGGCUAAACCGGGCGAGUGCCAUUCAGACUGCCAAUCUAGAGGCGGAUAGAGGGGUGCGGAAUUCCGGGUGUAGCGGUGAAAUGUGUAGAGAUCCGGAGGAACACCAGUGGUGCAAACGGCGCCCUGGGUCCGAACUGACGCUGAGGCACGAAAGCGUGGGGAGCGAACGGGAUUAGAUACCCCAGUAGUCC
rnacentral:rRNA from 1 species